UGGGGAAUUUUGGACAAUGGGCGAAAGCCUGAUCCAGCAAUGCCGCGUGUGUGAAGAAGGCCUUCGGGUUGUAAAGCACUUUUGUCCGGAAAGAAAUCCUUGGCUCUAAUACAGUCGGGGGAUGACGGUACCGGAAGAAUAAGCACCGGCUAACUACGUGCCAGCAGCCGCGGUAAUACGUAGGGUGCAAGCGUUAAUCGGAAUUACUGGGCGUAAAGCGUGCGCAGGCGGUUUGCUAAGACCGAUGUGAAAUCCCCGGGCUCAACCUGGGAACUGCAUUGGUGACUGGCAGGCUAGAGUAUGGCAGAGGGGGGUAGAACUCCACGUGUAGCAGUGAAAUGCGUAGAGAUGUGGAGGAAUACCGAUGGCGAAGGCAGCCCCCUGGGCCAAUACUGACGCUCAUGCACGAAAGCGUGGGGAGCAAACAGGAUUAGAUACCCCUGGUAGUCCACGCCCUAAACGAUGUCAACUAGUUGUUGGGGAUUCAUUUCCUUAGUAACGUAGCUAACGCGUGAAGUUGACCGCCUGGGGAGUACGGUCGCAAGAUUAAAACUCAAAGGAAUUGACGGGGUCAUAGCUGUUUCCU
rnacentral:rRNA from 1 species